GGCUGAAUAGCUCAGUUGUAAGAGCAGUCGCUCGGCAAGCGAAAGACUCGGGGUCUAUUCCCUAUUCAGCGA
rfam:Camponotus floridanus CamFlo_1.0_1.contig7299, whole genome shotgun sequence.